GACGAACGCUGGCGGCGUGCUUAACACAUGCAAGUCGAACGGAAAGGCCCUGCUUUUGUGGGGUGCUCGAGUGGCGAACGGGUGAGUAACACGUGAGUAACCUGCCCUUGACUUUGGGAUAACUUCAGGAAACUGGGGCUAAUACCGGAUAGGAGCUCCUGCUGCUCGGUGGGGGUUGGAAAGUUCUGGUGGUUGGGGAUGGACUCGCGGCUUAUCAGCUUGUUGGUGGGGUAGUGGCUUACCAAGGCUUUGACGGGUAGCCGGCCUGAGAGGGUGACCAGCCACCUUGCGGCUGCGAUACGCCACGGAGUCGUACAGGAGGCAACAGUGGGGAAUAUUGCGGAAUAAGCGGAAGCCUAAUACAACAACGCCGCGUGCGGGAUGACGGCCUUCGAGUUGUAAACCUCUUUCGCCGGUGACGUAGCGUGAGUGACGGUAAUGGAUAAAAAAGCAACGGCUAACUACGUG
rnacentral:rRNA from 1 species